ensembl:lncRNA
GGGUAUUUGUAGUUGUUUUUUGGGUCUUUGUAGUUAUUUUGUGGGUCUUUGGAGUUGUUUUGAGGGGCCUUUGAAGUAGUUUUACGGGUCUUUGUAGUUGUUUUGUGUCUCUUUGAAGUAGUUUUGUGUCUCUUUGAAGUAGUUUUGUGUCUCUUUGUAGUAGUUUUGUGGCUCUUUGAAAUAGUUUUGUGUCUCUUUGUAGUUGUUUUGUGUCUCUUUGUAGUAGUUUUGUGGGUCUUUGUAGUUGUUUUGUGGGUCUUU